GACGAACGCUGGCGGCGUGCUUAACACAUGCAAGUCGAACGGACUACUUUGCUUCGGUAAGGUGGUUAGUGGCGAACGGGUGAGUAACGCGUAGACAACCUACCUCUUAGAUGGGGACAACAUCGCGAAAGCGGUGCUAAUACCGAAUGAAGUGACUUUCCUGCAUGGGAGAGAUACUAAAGGUGGCCUCUAUUUAUAAGCUACCACUGAGAGAUGGGUCUGCGUCUGAUUGGCUAGUGGGCGGGGUAAUGGCCCACCAAGGCGACGAUCAGUAGCCGGUCUGAGAGGAUGAACGGCCACAUUGGGACUGAGAAACGGCCCAAACUCCUACGGGAGGCAGCAGUGGGGAAUCUUCCGCAAUGGACGAAAGUCUGACGGAGCAACGCCGCGUGAGUGAAGAAGGUUUUCGGAUCGUAAAGCUCUGUUGUUUGAGACGAAUGUGCCUGUUUCAAAUAGGGAUAGGUAAUGACGGUAUUAAACGAGAAAGCCACGGCUAACUACGUGCCAGCAGCCGCUGUAA
rnacentral:rRNA from 1 species